AGGCUUAACACAUGCAAGUCGAGGGGCAGCAUGAGGUAGCAAUACCUUGAUGGCGACCGGCGCACGGGUGAGUAACGCGUAUGCAACCUGCCCGAUACCGGGGUAUAGCCCAUGGAAACGUGGAUUAACACCCCAUAGUACUUUUAUCCUGCAUGGGAUGUGAGUUAAAUGUUCAAGGUAUCGGAUGGGCAUGCGUCCUAUUAGUUAGUUGGCGGGGUAACAGCCCACCAAGACGAUGAUAGGUAGGGGUUCUGAGAGGAAGGUCCCCCACAUUGGAACUGAGACACGGUCCAAACUCCUACGGGAGGCAGCAGUGAGGAAUAUUGGUCAAUGGACGUAAGUCUGAACCAGCCAAGUCGCGUGAGGGAAGACUGCCCUAUGGGUUGUAAACCUCUUUUAUAAGGGAAGAAUAAGUUCUACGUGUAGAAUGAUGCCUGUACCUUAUGAAUAAGCAUCGGCUAACUCCGUGCCAGCAGCCGCGGUAAUACGGAGGAUGCGAGCGUUAUCCGGAUUUAUUGGGUUUAAAGGGUGCGUAGGCGGUUUAUUAAGUUAGUGGUUAAAUAUUUGAGCUAAACUCAAUUGUGCCAUUAAUACUGGUAAACUGGAGUACAGACGAGGUAGGCGGAAUAAGUUAAGUAGCGGUGAAAUGCAUAGAUAUAACUUAGAACUCCGAUAGCGAAGGCAGCUUACCAGACUGUAACUGACGCUGAUGCACGAGAGCGUGGGUAGCGAACAGGAUUAGAUACCCUGGUAGUCCACGCCGUAAACGAUGCUCACUGGUUCUGUGCGAUAUAUUGUACGGGAUUAAGCGAAAGUAUUAAGUGAGCCACCUGGGGAGUACGUCGGCAACGAUGAAACUCAAAGGAAUUGACGGGGGCCCGCACAAGCGGAGGAACAUGUGGUUUAAUUCGAUGAUACGCGAGGAACCUUACCUGGGUUUAAAUGGGAAAUGCCGUAUUUGGAAACAGAUAUUCUCUUCGGAGCGUUUUUCAAGGUGCUGCAUGGUUGUCGUCAGCUCGUGCCGUGAGGU
rnacentral:rRNA from 1 species